UACCAUACAUGAUGUAUGGAUACACCAUUGGUUCCACAUACUCACACAAAGGAUGCACAUGCCACUUAUUAAAAAUCUGAACCAUAUCCUCUCUCUCACUCACUCGACCUUUUCUCUCUUUCUCCCACAAAAGAAAAAUAUAUUUUUCUUCUUCCUCAUUAUAUUUCUUCUGCAACUUCUCUUCUUCCUCCUCACCAUUUUCUUCUUCCCAACAUGUCUGGAACAACACCACCACCACGAGCCAAAACCGCGAGCACCACCACCUCCAUGCCUCCUUCACGCAGCAACCACCACUGUCCAUGUUCUGUUUUUCCUCUCCAUGAGAGCCACCACCAAAACCCUAGCCGCCACCUUUUCCUCCGAUCUUCGGCGAACCAUUAAGUUUUUGGAGAAACCAACGCCACCACUGAACUCCUCUCAUCAACCGCAACAAAACCCCUUCAUCGAUUCGAUGAUCGGCCACUGCGACACCGGCGACCGCCGCCGCUGCCGUCUUCUCCGGCGAGCUUUGUUCUGAGAACGGAGGCCAAUUUCUUGAAGCUCUCAACCUCCUUUUCCAUAAUCCAAGGCCCAAUCAUCAGUAAGAGGGCUUGCUGGUCGUCAGAGGAAGAUAAGGCCAUGACCAGAGGAAGAAUUGAAGCUCAGUCCCAUGACCAUGAGACUUGAGGGUACGAAUAACGGGAGCGCUUGACGACGAAGCUAAAAGAAUAAAAGGAAGCACAACCGACACGGGAAAGCAAAGAUGUGUUGGGAUUGAAAUUGCAGCUAGUAUGAGAAUUGGCUAAGAUGUCGUCGGUGGAUUCUUUCGUGAUUCUUCAUCGUUCGGGGAAGACCCGGAGCGAAAUGACUACUACUGAGCUUUCGACGUGAACCCGGACUUCAUGCAUGACCAGAUGAGAGUCGAUGAUGGAAGUAUGGGGGAUGGGUGUUUAGAGUCCACUAAGGUUGGGUGUUAGUGUCAUAGCUCUGACUUAUUCUUAUUUUUGAGGGCUUGUGUUACUGACACUUGACCUAUCAUUUUGGGAUUGUACAUUUUGCCUACGGGCGUUACACUCUUAUACUUUCCGUCACUGGAGGUUACUUGUGACGAUGUCGCUACUUACAGCGAGGGAUGUUAUAUAUUGUAUAUUAGUUCUGUUGCCUUUUCGCA